UACGUAGGUGGCAAGCGUUGUCCGGAUUUACUGGGCGUAAAGGGCGUGCAGGCGGUCUGUUAAGUCUAGGGUGAAAGCUCCUGGCUCAACUGGGAGAGGUCCUUGGAUACUGGCGGACUUGAGGGAGGCAGAGGAAAGUGGAAUUCCCGGUGUAGUGGUGAUAUGCGUAGAUAUCGGGAGGAACACCAGUGGCGAAGGCGGCUUUCUGGGCCUUACCUGACGCUGAGACGCGAAAGCGUGGGGGAGCAAACAGG
rnacentral:rRNA from 1 species